rnacentral:rRNA from 1 species
AACGAACGCUGGCGGCGUGGAUUAGGCAUGCAAGUCGAACGAAGUCAGGGGAAUUGGCAACAAGACCCCGAAGCUUAGUGGCGAAAGGGUGAGUAACACCAUAGAUAACUUACCCUCGAGAUGGGGACAACACCUCGAAAGGGGUGCUAAUACCCAAUACUGUCAUUUGCCUGUGGGUGAAUGAUGAAAGGAGGCCUCUGUUUUAAGCUUCCGCUCAGGGAGGGGUUUAUGUCCUAUUAGCUUGUUGGUGAGGUAAAGGCUCACCAAGGCUGCGAUGGGUAGCCGGCCUGAGAGGGUGUUCGGCCACAUUGGGACUGAGACACUGCCCAGACUCCUACGGGAGGCUGCAGUCGAGAAUCUUCCGCAAUGCGCGCAAGCGUGACGGAGCGACGCCGCGUGGGUGAUGAAGGCCUUCGGGUUGUAAAGCCCUGUCAGUUGCCAAGAAUGGCGGGUCGUGAAUAGCGAUCCCGUUUGACUAAGCAGCAAAGGAAGCACCGGCUAAAUACGUGCCAGCAGCCGCGGUAAUACGUAUGGUGCAAACGUUGUUCGGAAUCACUGGGCUUAAAGCGGGCGUAGGCGGUUUGGUGCAAGUUGAAUGUGAAAUCCCUCGGCUUAACCGGGGAAGUGCAUCCAAAACUGCCAAACUUGAGUAUGGUAGAAGUGAGCGGAAUUCUCAGUGUAGCGGUGGAAUGCGUAGAUAUUGAGAAGAACACCAGUGGCGAAGGCGGCUCACUAGAUCAAUACUGACGCUGAAGCGCGAAAGCCAGGGGAGCGAACGGGAUUAGAUACCCCGGUAGUCCUGGCCGUAAACGAUGUGCACUGGGUGUAGGAGGCAUCGACCCCUCCUGUGCCGAAGUUAACGCAUUAAGUGCACCGCCUGGGGAGUACGGCCGCAAGGCUGAAACUCAAAGGAAUUGACGGGGGCCCGCACAAGCGGUGGAGCAUGUGGUUUAAUUCGAUGCAACGCGAAGAACCUUACCAGGGCUUGACAUGCGCCGGACAGUUUACGAAAGUAGAUCUUCCUUCGGAGAGCCUGCACAGGUGCUGCAUGGCUGUCGUCAGCUCGUGUCGUGAGAUGUUGGGUUAAGUCCCGCAACGAGCGCAACCCUUAUCGUUAGUUGCCAGCACUUCGGGUGGGGACUCUAACGAGACUGCCGGUGAUAAACCGGAGGAAGGUGGGGAUGACGUCAAGUCAGUAUGGCCCUUACGUCCUGGGCUACACACGUGCUACAAUGGUCGGUACAGAGGGUUGCCAAACCGUGAGGUGGAGCUAAUCCCAGAAAGCCGGCCCCAGUUCGGAUUGGAGUCUGCAACUCGACUCCAUGAAGUUGGAAUCGCUAGUAAUGGCGCAUCAGCUACGGCGCCGUGAAUACGUUCCCGGGCCUUGUACACACCGCCCGUCACAUCACGAAAGUCGACUGUACCAGAAGUCGCCCAAGCCAACCCCGCUUCGGCGGGGAGGCAGGUGCCGAAGGUAUGGUUGGUGAUUGGGAUG